rnacentral:rRNA from 1 species
AGCGAACGCUGGCGGCAGGCUUAACACAUGCAAGUCGAACGCAACCUUCGGGGUGAGUGGCGGACGGGUGAGUAACACGUGGGAACGUACCCUUCGAUCCGGGAUAACUUCGGGAAACGGGUGCUAAUACCGGAUACGCCCUUUUGGGGAAAGGUUUACUGCCGAAGGAUCGGCCCGCGUUGGAUUAGCUAGUUGGUGGGGUAACAGCCUACCAAGGCGACGAUCAGUAGCUGGUCUGAGAGGAUGAUCAGCCACACUGGGACUGAGACACGGCCCAGACUCCUACGGGAGGCAGCAGUGGGGAAUAUUGGACAAUGGGCGCAAGCCUGAUCCAGCCAUGCCGCGUGAGUGAUGAAGGCCUUAGGGUUGUAAAGCUCUUUUGUCCGGGACGAUAAUGACGGUACCGGAAGAAUAAGCCCCGGCUAACUUCGUG